rnacentral:rRNA from 1 species
AGCAGCCGCGGUAAUUCCAGCUCCAAUAGCGUAUAUUAAAGUUGUUGCAGUUAAAAAGCUCGUAGUUGAAUUUCGGGAUCAAUAUGUUGGUCGUGCCUCGGUACGUACUAGCUUAUUGGUUUCUCCUUUCUGAAGAACCAUGAUGUCAUUUAUUUGGUGUCGUGGGGAAUCAGGACUGUUACUUUGAAAAAUUAGAGUGUUUAAAGCAGGCUCACGCUUGAAUACAUUAGCAUAGAAUAAUGAAAUAGGACGUUUGAUUCUAUUUUGUUGGUUUCUAGGAUCGACGUAAUGAUUAAUAGGGAUAGUUGGGGGCAUUAGUAUUCAAUUGUCAGAGGUGAAAUUCUUGGAUUUAUUGAAGACUAACUACUGCGAAAGCAUUUGCCAAGGAUGUUUUCAUUAAUCAAGAACGAAAGUUAGGGGAUCGAAGACGAUCAGAUACCGUCGUAGUCUUAACCAUAAACUAUGCCGACUAGGGAUCGGAUGAUGUUAAUUUUUAAUGUACUCAUUCGG